rnacentral:rRNA from 1 species
UACGGGGGGGGCGAAGCGUUGUUCGGAUUCAUUGGGCGUAAAGGGUGCGUAGGUGGCGCCGUAAGUCAGGUGUGAAAUUUCGGAGCUUAACUCCGAAACUGCAUUUGAUACUGCGGUGCUUGAGGACUGGAGAGGAGACUGGAAUUCACGGUGUAGCAGUGAAAUGCGUAGAUAUCGUGAGGAAGACCAGUGGCGAAGGCGGGUCUCUGGACAGUUCCUGACACUGAGGCACGAAGGCCAGGGGAGCAAACGGG